ensembl:misc_RNA Metazoa_SRP Metazoan signal recognition particle RNA
AAGAGACCUUUAGAACAGCUGCUAAUUAUGCCGACCGGGUGCCUGCACUAAGUUCGGCAUCAGUGUGGUGACCUCCUGUGAGCGGGGGGGCCACCAAGUUGCCUAAGGAUGGCUGAACUGGCUCAGGUCAGAAAGGGAGCAGGUCAGAACUCCCACAUCGACCAGUAGUGGGAGUGUGCCUGGGCAGUAUAGCAAGAUUUUGAUUCUU